rnacentral:tRNA from 1 species
GGAGAGAUGACCGAGCGGCCGAAGGUGCACGACUGGAAUUCGUGUGAGCCCGAGAGGGUUCCGAGGGUUCAAAUCCCUCUCUCUCCG